UCCGAAUUGGUGUAGUGGUCAACAUUUGACGCUCUCAAUAACCAUGACUACGGUUGUGAUUGUGAAGUGCCGUCAAGCCCGGGGUUCGAUUCCCCGAUUCGGAG
rnacentral:tRNA from 1 species